rnacentral:tRNA from 1 species
CGCAAGGUGGCAGAGGCAUUGUCACUGUCUCUGGAGGAGGUGGACCGGGUGUUCCAGCAUCUGCUGGCGC